GCGUCGGUAGCGCAACGGGUUAAAGCACGCUCCCCUAGACAGGAUGAAAUGUGGGUUCAAGUUCCGCCCGAUGCG